AGAGCUUGAUCAUGGCUCAGAUUGAACGCUGGCGGCAGGCCUAACACAUGCAAGUCGAACGGUAACAGGAAGAAGCUUGCUUCUUUGCUGACGAGUGGCGGACGGGUGAGUAAUGUCUGGGAAACUGCCUGAUGGAGGGGGAUAACUACUGGAAACGGUAGCUAAUACCGCAUAACGUCGCAAGACCAAAGAGGGGGACCUUCGGGCCUCUUGCCAUCGGAUGUGCCCAGAUGGGAUUAGCUAGUAGGUGGGGUAACGGCUCACCUAGGCGACGAUCCCUAGCUGGUCUGAGAGGAUGACCAGCCACACUGGAACUGAGACACGGUCCAGACUCCUACGGGAGGCAGCAGUGGGGAAUAUUGCACAAUGGGCGCAAGCCUGAUGCAGCCAUGCCGCGUGUAUGAAGAAGACCUUCGGGUUGUAAAGUACUUUCAGCGGGAGGAAGGGAGUAAAGUUAAUACCUUUGCUCAUUGACGUUACCCGCAGAAGAAGCACCGGCUAACUCCGUGCCAGCAGCCGCGGUAAUACGGAGGGUGCAAGCGUUAAUCGGAAUUACUGGGCGUAAAGCGCACGCAGGCGGUUUGUUAAGUCAGAUGUGAAAUCCCCGGGCUCAACCUGGGAACUGCAUCUGAUACUGGCAAGCUUGAGUCUCGUAGAGGGGGGUAGAAUUCCAGGUGUAGCGGUGAAAUGCGUAGAGAUCUGGAGGAAUACCGGUGGCGAAGGCGGCCCCCUGGACGAAGACUGACGCUCAGGUGCGAAAGCGUGGGGAGCAAACAGGAUUAGAUACCCUGGUAGUCCACGCCGUAAACGAUGUCGACUUGGAGGUUGUGCCCUUGAGGCGUGGCUUCCGGAGCUAACGCGUUAAGUCGACCGCCUGGGGAGUACGGCCGCAAGGUUAAAACUCAAAUGAAUUGACGGGGGCCCGCACAAGCGGUGGAGCAUGUGGUUUAAUUCGAUGCAACGCGAAGAACCUUACCUGGUCUUGACAUCCACGGAAGUUUUCAGAGAUGAGAAUGUGCCUUCGGGAACCGUGAGACAGGUGCUGCAUGGCUGUCGUCAGCUCGUGUUGUGAAAUGUUGGGUUAAGUCCCGCAACGAGCGCAACCCUUAUCCUUUGUUGCCAGCGGUCCGGCCGGGAACUCAAAGGAGACUGCCAGUGAUAAACUGGAGGAAGGUGGGGAUGACGUCAAGUCAUCAUGCCCCUUACGACCAGGGCUACACACGUGCUACAAUGGCGCAUACAAAGAGAAGCGACCUCGCGAGAGCAAGCGGACCUCAUAAAGUGCGUCGUAGUCCGGAUUGGAGUCUGCAACUCGACUCCAUGAAGUCGGAAUCGCUAGUAAUCGUGGAUCAGAAUGCCACGGUGAAUACGUUCCCGGGCCUUGUACACACCGCCCGUCACACCAUGGGAGUGGGUUGCAAAAGAAGUAGGUAGCUUAACCUUCGGGAGGGCGCUUACCACUUUGUGAUUCAUGACUGGGGUGAAGUCGGAACAAGGUA
rnacentral:rRNA from 1 species